rnacentral:misc_RNA from 1 species
AAGUCGUAACAAGGUUUCCGUAGGUGAACCUGCGGAAGGAUCAAUACGAAGAGUGAGAGAGAGGAGGGGAUUUGUUGAAAUACUAGAAGAACUUUUGACAUUUUACACACACAACAACACACAACUCAUAACAAUGGAUCUCUGGGCUCUU